rnacentral:rRNA from 1 species
AGGACGAACGCUGGCGGCGUGCUUAACACAUGCAAGUCGAGCGGAAAGGCCCUUCGGGGUACUCGAGCGGCGAACGGGUGAGUAACACGUGAGUAAUCUGCCCAUCGCUUCAGGAUAGCCAUCGGAAACGGUGAUUAAUACUGGAUAUGACAUUCCUUCGCAUGUUGGGGUGUGGUAAAGUUUUUUCGGCGGUGGAUGUGCUCGCGGCCUAUCAGCUUGUUGGUGGGGUAAUGGCCUACCAAGGCUUUGACGGGUA